GUCUACGGCCAUGCCACCCUGAACAAGCCCGAUGUCUGAUCUCGGAAGCUAAGCAAGGUAGGGCCUGGUUAGUCCUUGGAUGGGAGACCACCUAGGAAGACCAGGUGCUGUAGGCA
rnacentral:rRNA from 1 species